rnacentral:lncRNA from 1 species
CUAAUUAAAUGAGACUGAUAUAUCAUAUUUUUAGUACAAAAUGGACUAUUAAGUUUAACUAAAAUCAAUUGAACAACAAUUUGUAACUCAAAAAUAUGAAAAAUUUAAAAAUGAAACCCAAUUCAUUUAUUAGUAUAAUAAAAGUACACGUCUAAACGAUGAAUGUACUUAUUACAUAUAUAUUAAGUAACUUUCUUGCAUGUCUCAUAGGAAGAUGCCGAACAUCAUUUGGUCCUGAGAUCU